CACACAUAUAUAUAUGCAUUUGAGAGUUUCUGUUCAGGAACUGAAUGGCUACAUUUUUUGUCGGUUCUAGAACUAUUCUGUAUCAUCAACAUGGACUGAGAAGAAUGUGACCAGAAAGCCACCAUAAGAGAUUCUCUCCUCCUAGAAUGCCUGUAAAAGACACUCUUUGACCAUGAAUGUGUGCCCUUGCCAGGGGCCCAUGCUGUCCAC